GACGUAGGGCGCGAGCGUUGUCCGGAUUUAUUGGGCGUAAAGAGCUCGUAGGCGGCUCGUUGCGUCGGCUGUGAAAACCCGCAGCCCAACUGUGGGCUUGCAGCUGAUACGGGCGGGCUGGAGUUCGGUAGGGGAGACUGGAAUUCCUGGUGUAGCGGUGAAAUGCGCAGAUAUCAGGAGGAACACCGGUGGCGAAGGCGGGUCUCUGGGCCGAUACUGACGCUGAGGAGCGAAAGCGUGGGGAGCGAACAGG
rnacentral:rRNA from 1 species